CCUCACAAUCAAGGACAAAUUCCUGAAUGCAACAUUUGCUUUUCCGUCUUCCCGCUUCACCUCACUCAUCCCUGCAGAAGUACAAGUAUUCCUGGCUUCUUCAAGUCUACGCCUAAGAAUUAAGAGCCUUGGGGAGAAGGGCACUGCAUCGACCACUGCAUCUCAAUCAUUGUGGCAGACGUACCACAGCACUGGGAAGCUGGCCUUGGCAAGAAUCUCAGGCUAUUACUACAGAGUUGGGAAGAAGGUUUAGGAUCAAGAUAGAGGUGACUGACCAAGCAUUUCUCCUUGUUGCCGCCAUGUGAAGAAGGACGUGUUUGCUUCCCCUUCUGCCAUGAUCAGAAGUUUCCUGAGUCCUCUCCAGCCAUGCUGAACUAAAACAUGUCCCAAUCCCUGGUGUUGAGGAUUCUCUGGGGAGAAGACUCACCGUGAAGACCUUCUCAGGCUGACCCCGGGCUCUCAUGUUGGUGUCAUGAAUUAACUUCAGAAUCAUCCAAGCUUCAUCAUGUUUUCCAACCUAAGAAAUGAGAGUGGACAGUGAAGCGCUAGGAGUGACACACUUACCCUCCCUGAUUUUCCAAUAGCCGUCUUGCAUUGUCAGAUCAAAUGAGGUGUAAUUGUGCAAAUGUAUCUCAGUACAUCCCAUUGGAACAUACAGACUAUUUGGAUAUCACUGAAUACAUGAGCAGUUCAAAUAAUAUGGUUAUAACUAGAAAUAGUAUCUCCAGAUGGUAAAAUUUCGCUAUAAAACAAUAA
ensembl:lncRNA novel transcript